UUAAGCGACUAAGCGUACACGGUGGAUGCCCUGGCAGUCAGAGGCGAUGAAGGACGUGCUAAUCUGCGAAAAGCGUCGGUAAGGUGAUAUGAACCGUUACAGCCGGCGAUGUCCGAAUGGGGAAACCCAGUGCAAUUCGUUGCACUAUCGUUUGAUGAAUACAUAGUCAAACGAGGCGAACCGGGGGAACUGAAACAUCUAAGUACCCCGAGGAAAAGAAAUCAACCGAGAUUCCCCCAGUAGCGGCGAGCGAACGGGGAGCAGCCCGGAGUCUGAAUCAGCUUGUGUGUUAGUGGAAGCGUCUGGAAAGUCGCAGGGUACAGGGUGAUACUCCCGUACACUAAAACACACAGGCUGUGAACUCGAAGAGUAGGGCGGGACACGUGGUAUCCUGUCUGAAUAUGGGGGGACCAUCCUCCAAGGCUAAAUACUCCUGACUGACCGAUAGUGAACCAGUACCGUGAGGGAAAGGCGAAAAGAACCCCGGCGAGGGGAGUGAAAAAGAACCUGAAACCGUGUACGUACAAGCAGUAGGAGCCCACUUGUUGGGUGACUGCGUACCUUUUGUAUAAUGGGUCAGCGACUUAUAUUCUGUAGCAAGGUUAACCGUAUAGGGGAGCCGCAGGGAAACCGAGUCUUAACUGGGCGUUAAGUUGCAGGGUAUAGACCCGAAACCCGGUGAUCUAGCCAUGGGCAGGUUGAAGGUUGGGUAACACUAACUGGAGGACCGAACCGACUAAUGUUGAAAAAUUAGCGGAUGACUUGUGGCUGGGGGUGAAAGGCCAAUCAAACCGGGAGAUAGCUGGUUCUCCCCGAAAGCUAUUUAGGUAGCGCCUCGUGAAUUCAUCUUCGGGGGUAGAGCACUGUUUCGGCUAGGGGGUCAUCCCGACUUACCAACCCGAUGCAAACUACGAAUACCGAAGAAUGUUAUCACGGGAGACACACGGCGGGUGCUAACGUCCGUCGUGAAGAGGGAAACAACCCAGACCGCCAGCUAAGGUCCCAAAGUCAUGGUUAAGUGGGAAACGAUGUGGGAAGGCCCAGACAGCCAGGAUGUUGGCUUAGAAGCAGCCAUCAUUUAAAGAAAGCGUAAUAGCUCACUGGUCGAGUCGGCCUGCGCGGAAGAUGUAACGGGGCUAAACCAUGCACCGAAGCUGCGGCAGCGACACUAUGUGUUGUUGGGUAGGGGAGCGUUCUGUAAGCCGUUGAAGGUGGCCUGUGAGGGUUGCUGGAGGUAUCAGAAGUGCGAAUGCUGACAUAAGUAACGAUAAUGCGGGUGAAAAACCCGCACGCCGGAAGACCAAGGGUUCCUGUCCAACGUUAAUCGGGGCAGGGUGAGUCGACCCCUAAGGCGAGGCCGAAAGGCGUAGUCGAUGGGAAACAGGUUAAUAUUCCUGUACUUGGUGUUACUGCGAAGGGGGGACGGAGAAGGCUAUGUUGGCCGGGCGACGGUUGUCCCGGUUUAAGCAUGUAGGCGGAUGUUCCAGGUAAAUCCGGAACGUUAUUAACGCUGAGGUGUGAUGACGAGGCACUACGGUGCUGAAGUGACAAAUGCCCUGCUUCCAGGAAAAGCCUCUAAGCAUCAGGUAACAUCAAAUCGUACCCCAAACCGACACAGGUGGUCAGGUAGAGAAUACCAAGGCGCUUGAGAGAACUCGGGUGAAGGAACUAGGCAAAAUGGUGCCGUAACUUCGGGAGAAGGCACGCUGAUAUGUAGGUGAAGUGAUUUACUCAUGGAGCUGAAAUCAGUCGAAGAUACCAGCUGGCUGCAACUGUUUAUUAAAAACACAGCACUGUGCAAACACGAAAGUGGACGUAUACGGUGUGACGCCUGCCCGGUGCCGGAAGGUUAAUUGAUGGGGUUAUCCGUAAGGAGAAGCUCUUGAUCGAAGCCCCGGUAAACGGCGGCCGUAACUAUAACGGUCCUAAGGUAGCGAAAUUCCUUGUCGGGUAAGUUCCGACCUGCACGAAUGGCGUAAUGAUGGCCAGGCUGUCUCCACCCGAGACUCAGUGAAAUUGAACUCGCUGUGAAGAUGCAGUGUACCCGCGGCAAGACGGAAAGACCCCGUGAACCUUUACUAUAGCUUGACACUGAACACUGGUCCUUGAUGUGUAGGAUAGGUGGGAGGCUUUGAAGUGUGGACGCCAGUCUGCAUGGAGCCAUCCUUGAAAUACCACCCUUUAAUGGCUGGUGUUCUAACGUGGGCCCGUAAUCCGGGUUGCGGACAGUGUCUGGUGGGUAGUUUGACUGGGGCGGUCUCCUCCUAAAGAGUAACGGAGGAGCACGAAGGUCAGCUAAUCCUGGUCGGACAUCAGGAGGUUAGUGCAAUGGCAUAAGCUGGCUUGACUGCGAGCGUGACGGCGCGAGCAGGUGCGAAAGCAGGUCAUAGUGAUCCGGUGGUUCUGAAUGGAAGGGCCAUCGCUCAACGGAUAAAAGGUACUCCGGGGAUAACAGGCUGAUACCGCCCAAGAGUUCAUAUCGACGGCGGUGUUUGGCACCUCGAUGUCGGCUCAUCACAUCCUGGGGCUGAAGUAGGUCCCAAGGGUAUGGCUGUUCGCCAUUUAAAGUGGUACGCGAGCUGGGUUUAGAACGUCGUGAGACAGUUCGGUCCCUAUCUGCCGUGGGCGCUGGAGAAUUGAGGGGGGCUGCUCCUAGUACGAGAGGACCGGAGUGGACGCAUCACUGGUGUUCGGGUUGUCAUGCCAAUGGCAUUGCCCGGUAGCUAAAUGCGGAAGAGAUAAGUGCUGAAAGCAUCUAAGUACGAAACUUGCCCCGAGAUGAGUUCUCCCUGACUCCUUGAGAGUCCUGAAGGAACGUUGAAGACGACGACGUUGAUAGGCCGGGUGUGUAAGCGCAGCGAUGCGUUGAGCUAACCGGUACUAAUGAACCGUGAGGCUUAACCU
rnacentral:rRNA from 1 species